GUCUACAGCCAUACCACCCUGAACAAUCCCGAUCCAGUCAGUUCUCAGAAGCUAAGUAGGGUCGGGUCUGGUUAGUACUUGGAUGGGAGACCACCUAGGAAGACCAGGUGCUGUAGGCA
rnacentral:rRNA from 1 species